AUUGAACGCUGGCGGCAGGCUUAACACAUGCAAGUCGAGCGAGCGGCGGACGGGUGAGUAAUGUCUGGGAAACUGCCUGAUGGAGGGGGAUAACUACUGGAACCGGUAGCUAAUACCGCAUACCCUCAGAUGUGCCCAGAGGGGAUUAGCUCGUAGGUGGGGUAAUGGCUCACCUAGGCGACGAUCCCUAGCUGGGCUGAGAGGAUGACCAGCCACACUGGAACGGAGACACGGUCCAGAAUCCUACGGGAGGCAGCAGUGGGGAAUAAUGCACAAUGGUCGCAAGCCUGAUGCAGCCAGGCCGCGUGUGUGAAGAAGGCCUUCGGGUUGUAAAGCACUUUCAGCGAGGAGGCGUUACUCGCAGAAGAAGCACCGGCUAACUCCGUGCCAGCAGCGGCGGUAAUUC
rnacentral:rRNA from 1 species